GUGUCAUGUCACAACAUCGUCAUCGUGUCGCAGCGCGUCGUGGUGUCGUGACAUGCGGUCGUGUCACGACGUGCCAUCACAUUUGUGUCAUGACGUGUCGUCAUGUUGUAACAUGUCACAACAUGUCACUGUCAUCAUGUCGUGAUACGUCAUCGUGUCACGUCACGACAUGUCACCGUGUCACAAUGUGUCAUCGUAUUGUGACGCGUCAGCGCGUCGUGACGUGUUACACCGUGUCACUGUCGUGACAUGUCGCUAGGUGUCAGCAUGUCACAUCGUGCCCCGACGUGUCAUCAUGUCAUGACGUCUCGUUGUGUCAUGCCAUGUCGCUGUGUCACAAUGUGUCGUGACGUGUCAUGUCACACCGUGUCAGAACUUGUCACUGUGUCAUGACGUCAUCAUGUCACGAUGUGUCAUCAUGUCACGACAGUGUCAUCAUGUCGUGACAUGUCACCAUGUCACGUGUCGCCAUGCUGCGACACGUCCCCAUGUCCCGACACGUCCCCGUGUCGCGAUGCGUCCCCACGUUGCUGCGGCGCCGCGUGUCACCGCGCCGCGUCACCGUGUCGCAACAUGUCACGACGCGUCGCCGCAGACGGAGCCGCGCAGCCAAUAAACGGGAACGGAUCCGGCCCCAGCGGUGGCCUGGGGGCGUCAGGGGGGGAACUGGGGGGUACUGGGAGCCACUGGGCACCAACUGGGGGUUACUGGGUGCUCUUGGGAGCCACUGGGGGUUACUGGGCACCAUUGAGCACCAACUGGGUGUUACUGGGAGCUGUUGGGGGUUUACUGGGAGUUACUGGGUGAUGCUGAGAGCCACUGGGGGUAACUGGAGCCCAAUUGGCACCACUGGGCAUUACUGGGGGGUACUGGGAGUUAUUGGGCACCAACUGGGUGUUACUGGGAGCCUUUGGGUGUCACUGGGAGUUACUGGGAGCCACUGGGGGUCACUGGAACCCACUGGGAGCCGA
rnacentral:lncRNA from 1 species